rnacentral:rRNA from 1 species
GAUGAACGCUGGCGGCGUGCCUAAUACAUGCAAGUCGAGCGAACAGACGAGGAGCUUGCUCCUCUGACGUUAGCGGCGGACGGGUGAGUAACACGUGGAUAACCUACCUAUAAGACUGGGAUAACUUCGGGAAGCCGGAGCUAAUACCGGAUAAUAUAUUGAACCGCAUGGUUCAAUAGUGAAAGACGGUUUUGCUGUCACUUAUAGAUGGAUCCGCGCCGCAUUAGCUAGUUGGUAAGGUAACGGCUUACCAAGGCAACGAUGCGUAGCCGACCUGAGAGGGUGAUCGGCCACACUGGAACUGAGACACGGUCCAGACUCCUACGGGAGGCAGCAGUAGGGAAUCUUCCGCAAUGGGCGAAAGCCUGACGGAGCAACGCCGCGUGAGUGAUGAAGGUCUUCGGAUCGUAAAACUCUGUUAGUAGGGAAGAACAAAUGUGUAAGUAACUAUGCACGUCUUGACGGUACCUAAUCAGAAAGCCACGGCUAACUACGUG